CUUUUGUGAGCCUUCUGUUCUCUGACGUGUGCUGCUCUAACCAAGUUUCCUAAAUAGGGGAGAGAAUGUCUUUUCCUUUGCAAUUUCUAGAUGACUUGGGUAGUCCUAAAGUUUUGGUGGCUCUCCAAGAUCAUUUAGGGCAGCUAAUAUGUUAUUAGUUUUUGUCUGUUUUAGCAAAAAUCUGCAAUUGGCAUUUCCCAUGUGAUGCUGCGUGUUGAGGGCUCAUCUGCUUCUCGUCCAGGACGACAUUUCCAGCUUCAUCUUUGAUCUUAACCCUCCCGGAGGCAUACUUGGUUUCCUGACAGCCGCUGCAAUACACAGUCUUGACGGUGCCAUCCGGGUACUCCCUCCUCUUGAACCGGGCUGUGUGGAUUUCUUUCUGCCCGUUGCUGAGCACAAUGGUUUUGUCGCCGUUCCUGAGAGGAGAAACACAUGGGAUGAAUAACAGUGAUUUUCACCUUGUACUGGAGACAGAACCCUUGGACACUGAGGAACUCGCUGUGGAGCCUGCUGAAAUACUGCUGCACUGCUUCUAUUUCAUUACAGGAACAGGAAGGUGAUUACAGUGCCUGCAUGUGGGGUGCAUUCACAGCUGCUUGAUGUGUUUCUGAAAAAAAGAAAAGCUGCCAAAUUAAACUUAAUUGAUGAGUUUCCA